rnacentral:sRNA from 1 species
UCAGCAGAGUGUUUCCAGCUACAGCUUAUAUAUUUUCCUUUGUUUCGGGACCACAGCCCAUGCAACCUUCACUAGAUCAAGUUUCUUUGACUGUGUGCAAAAUGCCCUCUUUUCUCUCUCUGUCCCGCUCUUCACAUCUGCCUCACGGGAGUACUUUGUGGACCUUUACUUUGUGUAAUUUGGGUGGCUGUCUGGUUCUUUUUGUCCUGGUUUUCUUGUGAAGGGCAUUUUGUGUUUCCAUACAGCAUGGGUAUUCUGUUGAUUACAUUUCAGGCGAGUCGACAAUUUUUCAUGGAUCAACAAGGAAUACACCUUCGCAUGCAUUUGAAAUAGGUGGAGAUUUACCGCUGUGAUUGCUAUGAUUUGGUUGAAUUAAACUACAUGGGUCCAUACCAACCACGCCAGCACACCAGAUCGCUGGAUCGCCAAAUUUGUGUGUAUUCAGCCAAGUUUCUGAGAAAACACUUCCGGAAGGCUUGUAUAAAUAAAAUGAGUUUCUUAUAAUGCUGUGCGACUCAGGUAGCUUGGCUUGAGAUAUUUCUAAACACAUGAAGUUUCUUGAUUUGAGUGACAGUUCUAUGUUUCACAGGGACAUUCUCUUGUAUUACUAUCUGAGAUAUGAAGGCCUUGUCAGAUGCUAGAACACAUGAAUUUUCUAACAGCCUUUAAAUAUUGUGAACUUUUAUUAAAGAGUACUUAUUUAGAAAGCCUCUUCUGUGACCAGAAUCCUCUCAAGAGAAUCCUCUUGUGAGGAAAUGGCUCUUUAAAGUAAUUGCCG